rnacentral:misc_RNA from 1 species
AAAAUCCAAGUUCUUGAAAUAUCUGCACCAAAUCUUGAAUCAUUCCGGUAUCAUUGAUCAUUCUGGUUUCUUGCAUAUGAUUAUGAGGGAAGGACAACCAUGUCGUUUUAUGAUGUUCCUCAUCUUAACCAAGUAUCUUUUGGGGGAUGUUACUGUGAUGCACUUUUAGCAUUAAAUCUGCUAGAUCUUUCGAGUUUCAUUACUCAGCUGACGUCCCUUGAAUUGGUCCUCCCAGCCGAAAAAUGGUUUAUAACGAAUUUCUCAAAUCUUCCACGUUUUCCUACCAUGGAAAAUCUCAAGCAUUUGCUGCUUUCAUUGUCUGAAGAAACUGAUGAAAGCUUUCUCAUCUACUUCUGCUUGAUGGAGGCUUCUCCUUCGUUGCAGAGAUCGUCACUGAAGUUGGGAUGGUCCGUUUAUGGUGAUACGAAACUGGAGUUUACAAGGAGUCCAGAAUUUACUAGGCGUCCAAAACAUCAAUGCCUAAAGGUGGUGGGAAUA